GAGGAUGGAAGAAUGUAUUGGUUACCUUCUGAAAUUACAUUCCUAGCUGCCUGAGGUGUGCUGUGGUGCCAUGAGAGUACACGUCCAUCCCUUACUUCCACAGUGGGAACAGAGGUAGAAGAGGUCCCCUGGAGCACAUGGAUCCACCACGAUUGAGGACUUGCUUGCUCUGCCAUCCAGAAUGCACUAACCACACGGUGACGUGGCACUCAUGUUCCUGGAGAAAGCACCUGGUGAAGGUGUUAGAGAUGGCUGACAUUGCGUCCUUGCCUCUGUGUGUGCAGGUGAGAAUACAGAGCACCUUUCAGUCUCAGCAUGGGA